rnacentral:lncRNA from 1 species
UGACAUAAAAUAAUCAUAACUCAUACACACACACAUGAAGACAGGUGUGUAAACAAUAAACAGGUGUAUUAGUUUAACGCUCGGGAAUGUGAGAAAGUCUUUUACGUUUCGAAUCUAUGCUCUUCAACAGAAAGGAACACGAGAAAAUAAACAGAGAGAGAAUAAAAAAAUUUUAGUUGCUAGCGGUUAAUCAUGGUAAUGGCUGGACAGAGGUGGUCAGACAUGGGAGCUAGGAAGAAGGGGAGAAAAUAAAGUACUAGUGAUCCCAAAACGAAGGUGCGCGUGCGUGUGUCUGUGAGAGAGUAUGUGUAUAUAAGUAUGUGUAUACAGAAAUGCAUAUAUACCUGUAUAUAUAUAUAUAUAUAUAUAUAUAUAUAUAUGCGCAUAGAUAUAUGUAUGCAUGCUUGUAUACGUAUCUAUGUGUGUAUACAUAUAUAUGUAUACACACACACAUAUAUAUAUAUGUAUUAUAUAUAUAUAUAUAUAUAUAUAUAUAUAUAUAUAUAUAUAUAUAUAUAUAUAUAUAGGAUGUCUAUGUCUAUUUAGAGCCGGGCUAAUUAGUCAUUAGUGUACCCUGUAUUCUUGCUCACGGGCGGACAGGCAUUAUAAGAACUAUCAGUGAAAUUAUUCUUUUCCUUUUUCAAAUAUAUAUAUAUAUAUAUAUAUAUAUAUUUAUGCUACCAUUGGAACACAAGGUAACAAAAAAGCGGUUCCUUUUGAUACCAGCAAGAAACAAUAAUGGACUUCUUCACUACACUCAACAGUAAUAUAGCGAUUAUACCAACUACCCACAAAACACCACCACAUGGAUUCUAUUGAGAACUGUAAGAAACAAUUAUGAACUUUUCUAUUGCACUUUUUAUGAUAUAUUUGAUAAGGUUCGUUUUUUCAAGAACAUGAAUUCUAUUGAGACCAGUAAGAAACGAUUAUGAACUUUUCCAUUGCACUUUUUAUAAUAUUUUUGAUAAGGUUCGUUUUUUCAAGAACCGAAACAUGUAAAAUUCAUAAGAAAAAUUUAUCUAAUAUAGUGGCGUUUUCAAACUUCUUUUUUACAAAUAUAUAUAUAUACAUAUAUGUAUGUAUGUAUGUAUGUAUGUAUGUAUGUAUGUAUGUAUGUAUGUAUGUAUGUAUGUAUGUAUGUAUGUAUAUAACAAUAGGUUGAAAAUAUGAGGAAAAUAUAUCAAAAGUGAAAGAGAAAUGCCUUCUUUACACAUAGUUUAAUAUCUUUUAUAAAGAAAUUUAUAUAUAUAUAUAUAUAUAUAUAUAAUAUUUUACGGAUGUCGUGAUAUCCAACCGGUUUUCGCUAUUUAUAUUAGCUCUUCAAGGGACAUUGUGAAGUAAUCAUUUUGAAUCUCCAGUAUUUUUGCUCCUUAUAUAUAUUUAUAUAUAUAUAUAUAUACAUACAUACAUACAUACAUACAUACAUACAUACAUACAUACAUAUGAAUGUAUGUAUGCAUGUAUAUGAAUGUACAUGGAGAUAAAGUUAAAUUCAAGAUUAGAAGGCAUAUACCCAUCUCCUGCAGUUUUGGUUACUUGUUUAGCACUUUCUUUUUCUGUGCUAAAUGUUGUCCGUUGUUCAAUGCAUGGUGAGAGUGAUGUCUUAAGGCUGUUUGACAAAGAAUGUCUAAUAAGAACCCAUUCCACCCCACAAAAUAAACCUCCCAAAAACCUGCUAAGUUUGAGCAAAACAUUUAGCAAUUACCCUUGUAUGGUAGGAAGAUGUUGAAGUGGAGAUGAAGCUUUGCUGCAGUGUCUUAAAGAAAGAAAGAAAGAAAGAAAGAGAGAAAAGAAGAGAAAACAUUAAAUAUGAAUAGAGAAACAUGCAGCCCAUCCUUUCCAUAUGCAUCUCUCACUCUCUCUUUCUCUCUCCCCUUUUCUCUCUUUCUCUUUCUCUUUCUCUCUCUAACCUGUGACAAUUGUGUCGCUUGUCUAUGAGUUCAAGAUAUUUUAACACCCGGUGCUUUGAGAGAGUAAUCUCCACCACUCCAUAUCGCAGCCUUCUAGCAAACAUGCAAAAUACAUCUGUUCAGUAAAUGUGGUCGAUAAUGUUCAUUACACCAGCGCUGCUUCUGUUUCAUAAUUGAAUUUAUUCUUUUGCAUUGUCCGUGCAUAUCAAGAUAUAGUUUUCACGCUGUAUGCAUAUAAGUCGUGGAAUGGCGGCAUGAUUCUUCUACGGUCCUGCUUGGAUACGAAAUGUUGCUGAGCUACGAAAACAGUGAAACAGUGAUUUCCAUCACUUCUGAAUGUGUUGUCACUUCAGCCGAAAGCUUAGGUUUUUAACACCUUUGAGACAGUUAUUUCCACCACGCCAAUUCGCAGCCUACCAGUAUAUGAGGUCAAUAAUGUUUAUAUAUAUAUAUAGGUGUGGCUGCUUGGUAAGAAGCUUGUUUCUCAACCACAUGUUACCGGGUUCAGUUUCACUGUAUGGUAGCUUGGGCAUGUGUAAUAUAUUUGGAAAAAUAGUAGACAAGGCUUUUUUUUGUGUGUGUGGGAAUAAUUUUGGUAAGAAGUUUCGAGCUUUUUGAUAGCCGUUUUCAAACUGAAAUUCUGUGGUUUAGAAGGUUGUUUAAACAGCAAAAGAUUUUUCUUGCAGGUAUACAAAUAUAAAAUAAAAAUGGAAGAUAAAAGAUAGAAAAAAUAAAGAGUAUAAACCUAAUAUAAAAAAAUAAUAAAGAAUACAAAAAUAAAAUACAGCACCAUAUGGGAAAAAAGAAUCAAGAAGAGAAAAGAUA